rnacentral:misc_RNA from 1 species
CCGAGUUAGGGUUCCUCUCACGGGCCCGACCUCCCAACCCUGUGUCUACCACACCUUGUCGUUGCUUCGGCGGACCGGUUCGACUCCCCCGUUGCGGGGGAUUCGCGACCGCCGGGGGUGCUUCACCCCGGGAGAGCGUCCGCCGAUGGCCCAACCACAACAAACUCUUUGUCCCCAAACCGGUCGUCUAAAGAAUACUUGAUGUCAAUCAAACACA